UUUUGACUGCAGACGUCACGUUGACGACGUAGUGUGGAAGGACGUCUUGUUUUGGGUGCUGCAGCGCGGGAUUUUCGUUUUCGUGCCUCAUUUUGUUUACACAGCCAUUUUUAACCGGUCAAAAAUGUAUUUUUUCGUUUCGGAGUAAUCUAUCUGCUAUUCCUCUCAUUUACAUUACUCCUGAGACGUUGACCUCCUCUGGACACAGAGACACACACAAUGGCUGCGGCUCCAGUCGACUACACCAUAGGAGGGGUGAAAAUAAACUUCCCCUGCAAAGCUUAUCCCUCUCAGCUGGCCAUGAUGAAUUCAAUCAUUCGUGGACUUAAUCAUGGGCAGCACUGUCUAUUGGAGAGUCCUACUGGCAGUGGGAAGAGUCUUGCUUUGCUUUGUUCGGCCCUUGCAUGGCAGAAAGCACAGUUUGGUAAGGAACAGCCGGAUGCAGGCACCAGUUCGGCUGACUUUAAGAAACCAGAAGUGGUUACUCCAUGUCAAUGUGUGUGCCAUAGCCGAAAUGCACAUCCCACUUUCAACAGCACAGCAUCUAAACCACCUCUGGUGGAUCUUGCCGGUGAAGGUACUUCUGCUGAAGCUACAACCUCUCUGUCAAAAGGAGCAGUCCAAAGUGACCAGCCUAGAAAGUCGACUUUGUCUUCCCGUCUCUCUGAGAAACUUCAAGCCUCUCUCUCCAAUGGAGAACAAGAUGAUGAUUUUAAGAUUGACAGGAAGCGCAUUCGUACACCAGGCACAGAGCAAAAGAGCAGCAAGCGAAGAUGUCUUGAAAGAGGAGUGAUUUACAUUGAUGAUGAUGAAGAGGAGGAGAAUCUGGAGAGGCCAGUGCCUGGGACUCAGAGUUGGACCAUGGAAUUGAACAGUGGUGCCAGAGCUGACUGCUGUCAGUCACAGCCAGAGUGUCCUUCUCCCGUGUCUUGUUCUCGCUGUCCUUGCGCCAACCUCAAAGCAGGACAGAAACUGGUUGAAAAGUCCAAGGACAACGAGAAAGACAAAGAGGGAAGCGGGAGGAAAAAGAUCCCAAAGAUCUUUUUCGGCACUCGUACUCAUAAGCAGAUCACACAGAUUGCACGGGAGUUGAAACGGACACUUUACUCCACCGUGCCCAUGACAAUACUGUCCAGCCGAGACCACACCUGUGUCCACCCCGAAGUGGUACCUCAUGCCAACCGCAACGAGCGCUGCAAGGAGCUGCUGGAGGCCAAGAACGGUCUGUCAUGCCGGUACUACCACAAUGUGCAUAAAAUGCGUGAUCAGAGCUCUUUACAGUGGGUUCACGGGCUACACCAGGCCUGGGACAUUGAGGAUCUGGUGCGUCUUGGUGGCAAGCUGCGAUCCUGUGCUUACUACGCAGCACGGGAACUCAUGCAAGAGGCCUGCAUUGUGUUCUGUCCUUACAACUACCUGCUGGACCCUCUCAUUCGUGAGAGUAUGGAAAUCAAUCUGAAGGAGCAGAUUGUAGUGCUGGACGAGGCUCAUAACAUAGAGGACUGUGCCCGUGAGAGUGCCAGUUUCACCCUGAAUCAAGCUCAGCUGUUGCUGGCACGUGAUGAGAUCGACGGAAUGGUGACACACAACAUUCGGCGCGAUCAACACAGGCCACUGCUAGCCUUCUGCUGCAGCCUUGCCAACUGGGUGCAGGAAAGCUGCAAUGCCUUAGAGGAGCGUGAAUAUGAGUCUUCCUGUAAGGUCUGGACAGGAACGGAGGUUCUUGGCAUCUUCCAUGGUCUUGGCAUCACAGCAGACACCUUCUCUUUGCUACAGAAAAACCUGGCAGCAGUGUUAGAGAAGGAGGAGCGGAUCGGGGUAGUGAACGGGAGAGAAGAUACGGUGCAGGUUCCCACCAUCAGCUCCAACACUCAGUCAAUGCUCAAAAGCCUCUUUAUGGUGCUGGAAUUUCUUUUCAGACAAAAUUGCAGGUUUGCAGAUGAUUACCGUGUGGCUCUCCAGCAGAGCUACAUGUGGACCACCCAGCAGGACCCGCCCGAUGCUCAUGGCUUUUUUGCACGACCCCAGCGUCGCCGACAGAGCACCCGCACCAAAACUCUAGUGCACACCCUCAGCUUUUGGUGCCUCAACCCUGCUGUGGCAUUUUCAGAUCUGAGCGAUUCAGUGCGGAGUAUUGUGCUGACUUCGGGCACCCUCUCUCCCAUGGGUUCCUUUUCCUCUGAGCUGGGCAUUAAAUUCUCCAUCCAGCUAGAGGCCAAUCACGUUAUCAGCAAGUCACAGGUCUGGGUCGGUACAGUUGGUGCAGGGCCUCAGGGUCGUAAACUUUGUGCCACAUUUCAGCAUGCAGAGACAUUUGCCUUCCAGGAUGAAGUAGGGGCCCUGCUUUUGAAAGUGUGCCACACAGUGAGUCGAGGGGUUCUCUGCUUCCUGCCAUCCUACAAGAUGUUGGAUAAACUGAGGGACCGCUGGAUGAACACAGGUCUGUGGGACAAGCUUGAGGAGCGAAAGACUGUGAUCACUGAGCCACGUGGUGGUGGCAAGGGUGAUUUUGAUGAGCUGCUGCAGACCUACUAUGAGGCCAUCAGAGGAACAGUAGCCAACAGUGAAAACAGAGAUGGAGCAUUACUUGUAGCUGUUUGCAGAGGGAAGGUGAGCGAGGGCUUAGACUUCACCGAUGACAAUGCCAGAGCAGUGGUUACUAUUGGUAUCCCAUUCCCCAAUAUCAAAGAUUUGCAGGUUGAACUGAAGAUGAAAUAUAAUGACAAACAUGCCAAGUCACGAGGACUUCUGCCUGGUGGCCGCUGGUACGAGAUUCAAGCAUAUCGGGCACUAAACCAGGCACUCGGAAGGUGUAUACGACAUCGAAAUGACUGGGGGGCACUUAUACUGGUAGAUGACCGGUUUAAGACGAACCCAAACAAAUACAUCACAGGCCUGUCAAAGUGGGUGCGUCAGCUAGUGAGGCACCAUGACACCUUCACUGGCGCCAUGCAGUCCCUGGAGUCCUUUUCUCAAGGCCAGCGGGGGGCAGUAGAGACCUUCGAAGGGACACAAUCUCAGGCUGUCCCUCAAUACCCAAGCCCCUCCAAUGUUACCUCUCCCCCUCCUGAGAAAAUCACCCCCCACAAGCCAUUUGACCCUCAGCCUGCACCGCCAAACCUACACACCGAGGUGUGGGCAGCCAACUCUGAGAGCAGGUCUUCUGAAUCAGGUGACCAAAAGAAUAUACAGCAUCCUUCUGAACCAAUCACAUUGCCAAGCAGAGAACGUAAUGUCCAAAGAAUAGCAUGGCCUACAGGCCAUCUCUUCACCUCCUCUCCAGUCAGUAGCCAAUUUAAGACUUCUAUUUUUCAAUCCGAGCAGGAUGUGAAUUCAGUGAAUGACAAGCAAGUUCAGCAGGAACUUGUGCUUCCUGUGGCACCAAAGCACCAAAUAAAUGGUGCUCCUGUCCUAAAUGACAGCUCAUUUGAACCUCAACAUGAGCAGCUCUUUGUGAUCCCUAACUCUACCUUGAAGCAGAACACCAGUGGAAUGGACCUUGAUGACACCGAAGAGGAUGAACAAAGUAUCUUCUACAGCCCUGAGCUUUUUGAAGGAGAUGGGGAGGAGAAAGAAGAGACUACUGAGGUGGAAAAAUCACCUGCAGAAGUCAGCCAUCCUCCUGCUAACAGCACAGCCAGCAUUCUUUUGGAGGAUCUGUUUGGUUUAGGGCAGGGAAAGAGGACAUUGUCUGAAGACCUUGUGAGCAGCACUGUUCCAGACAACACAUUAUUACAGGGUAGUACAGAGCAGACCGGUUUAAACUGUAGUACAGACUUUGAGAGUGUGCCUGCCUCACAAAAUGGCGCCAGCAGUAGUCGGUCACGUAGACUCUCCAGAUCUAGGCAGAAAAGGCCCUGCACAUCAGCAGCAUCAGCAGGUCAAAGUUCAGACUUAAGGAUCAGGGAGAGAGUUCCAGUGAAGUCCCAAGCUCAAAAUCUUCACAAAACUAAUUCAAAGCCUCCAACCUCACUCAAACCAGAGCUAAACCAGAAAAUGAGAAGCCAUAUCCUGAAUAGAAAAGAGUCAAAACACACACAUAGAGGUAACCAGCAGGAACUAAGAGAAGCUGAGGAUUUUGGACAGGAUAACUGUAGCAAUGUUCAAACAGUAGUCCUCCACAACCAAUAUAGCCAUGCCAGAACAAAUGCCGUUGUAGUGCCACUACAGGGAGCCAAACGAAGGGAUUCAGUCAGACACCCAACCCAGAGACACUCAGGGCUUCAUGGGUCAUCAGACGUCUCAUCUGCAGAGAGGUUAGAGAGGCAGAGAAGAACUAGAGAAACUGGCACUUGUAUUACAGUCGAACCUUUGCCUCCAUCGUUAGCGGUACUGAAUGACCGCUUAGAGACCCAAACGGGUAUCAAAGUUCAGAGAUCAUAUCUGAGGAAGAACAGACAGCCAAAGAGGCUUAAAAUGGCACAUGAGAGUAGACGUUCUCAAAAACAGAGUGGUAAUCUGGUCCAUCUGUCUUUGUGAAUGAACUUGAAGUGGAGUCCUUUGACCAAGGCUGGGUGGAAGGCUUGUGAAGUUCACUUCUCUGGGAGAACUGUCUCCUCUGUGCUGAUCGUAGCGGGGAUUACCUGAGCUAUGAGCCUUGGCGGUCUUCAUGCCAUGCUAUAAGCCCCAGCGCUGGCUCCUAUUGGAGGAGAGAGCACUCCUUCCUGCCCAGGGUGCUAAAUAAUCAUGUUCUUGAGGGUCUGUCUCCUACCUCACCAAAGAAUGUCGAGGAGCUAAAUAUGAUUUCCUUGCUGAGUUUAAAGAUCUUCUUGGUUUCAUCAGCAGUUGAGUUCUUCUCUACAAUCAAUACCCUGGGACCCAUUCAGAGGAAUCAACUGCAUUUCCCAUGUGCCUUUUAAUGUCCCUUUUAUUUUUAUCACAUGAAGGUAAUUUUUUUUUUGUUAUGACUGUUUUCCCUUAUGUUCUAAAAAACCCUGCUUUAUACAAAUCAACUCAAUUUUACUUGUUUGUCGUUAAAUAAAGUUUAAAAAAAAAUCACA